GCCCUGACGAGGUUUAAAUAUCCAAGUCUGGACAUUGAGUUCAAGCACGAGAUAAACGAUCCCCGCGAAAAAGUGACCGGACAACUAUAGUUAUAUAUAGUAUCUAAAAAUAGAAAAAGGGGAAUUUACGAUGACCCACAAACGUUACAAUACCCCCUACCCAGAAAAACAAAUCGUCCGCGAUUUGACAACAUAGUAAGACAAUUUAAAGGACAAGACACGGUUGUCUUUAAACAGUUGAAAAUGUGCAAUUUAUUGUAUAUAAUUUUAAAAUUUCAAAGUCUAAAUGUUGAUAAAUGUCCAAGAAGGUCCAAACAGUGAUGAAGGUCUAAAUGGUGACGAAGGUCCAAAUAGUGAUGAAGGUACAAAUGGUGACGAAGGUCCAAAUAGUGAUGCAGGUUCAAAUGGUGACAAAGGUCCAAACAUUUCCAUUGUUGAAGGCAAUGUCCAAGCGAAUUAAGAAUUGGAUCCAUAUAUAUAUUCUUUUCCUCCAACAAUACACAAACACUGAAAAAUAAUAACUGACAAAAAAUAGAAUCAAAUCAAAAUAAAAAAAAAAACUUUAUAUUUUUGGAGAUACCGACAACCACAUAAUUAUAUUAACAUUUUACGUGCAGAGCACGGAGAUUGGGGAAGGUAAAAAUACUAAAUUAACGUAAUUUUGGAUACAUGUAAUCUGAAAUGAACUAAGGCCAAGCAAUUAUUUUCGAGAAAAAUCAGUACCGAUUACAUGAGUGUGCUACAAGAACAAACUAAUUAUGUAAUUAAACAGUAUUUCCAAUAUAGAAUAAUUAUUACUACAAAUCAAUAUAUCUAAUGCAAUGAAGUUAAAUAAGUGUUUAUGGUGUGUGUACUAAACCCAACUUCAGAAGUACAGUAAGCAAACUAUUAAAGCAUAAGAAAGAUAACAAUCACGUGCAAAUGCUAUUCUUUUAUUUCAGAGUGCAUUUUUUUUUUCACCCAUGACUCUAUAUAUAUCUAUAUGUAUACUGCCAUACUGUGAAUCUUAGUUCACGUAUCAAUAUUAUUCAUAAAUCAUCUAUAUUCAGCUUAAAACUACUGCACCACCAAAGCUUAUGGUAGCGAUGUAUGGCCAGAGCAAAGCUAAUACUUUCUAUGUGCCUAUUAUAUCCAGGCAGUUUCAACUGUAUACUAAUGUUCAACUGGUCAUGUGCAUGGGUGAAUCAUAAAAUCAUGUAUUUACUGUCAUGUAUACGAUUUACAUGAAUAAGAUUAAAAAAUAAUGUAUUCGUGUACUUUUUUUUUAUGCACCUCUAAAAUUGAGUUCAGCACACUGACUUUUUCUAUAUAUCAUCAUCACAUGCAAUCUACACUGCAAUAAUCUUUUACCAUAUAUAUAAAUAAACAUAUGUCAUCACAAGACACCGUAAAUCUAUUAUCAUUAUUAAAAAGAGCACCAGUGGAAGGCCAACUUUCAUCACCAAACUCAAUAAUUUUUACAUAACAUAUCAGGUUAUUACCUUCCCAAAUUUACUUGAGUUAAGUUUAAAUUCCUCCCAAUGAAUACGUUUGUCUAAGAUUAACGUCCAUGCGCAGGCAAAAUUGACCAUUCACGCAAGACGCAAAUCUGAAGUCAAUUCAUAAAAAAUGAACAUCUGAAUAAAUAGAAUAACCCUGAAAAAAACGUAUACUAAACCCCUUAAUAGCAAAUAAUAUAUAAUAGAUAUAUUCAAGUAUGAAGGCACCGACUGUGUAGAAAACAAUCUCCUUAUUCACAACAAGUCUAUGCACGGACUUGUAAAAAAAAAAAUCACUCAUACGUAAAUUUACAACAUAUAUCAACCUUUCAAUGAAUAUGACCUUUUAUAUAAAACAAUCCACAAAUAUUCAAAUUUGCCAACAUACAGAAACAAAGGUUUCGUACCCCCCUAUCUUAACAAAGUAUCAGUUCAUGACACACAAUGACUGUAAAUAGUCCAAAUUCCGUUAUUCCGCACAUAUAUAAAAUAGUUCUUCAGCAUAACGCAUCCUUGCUGCAGUCAAGAAUAUUAAUUCACAUAGCGUUGGUUCUGACCUUGGUCAGGUGUCAGAACCAACCUUUCAACAUACAGAUUGUUCAUAGAAAUAAAUCCAUCAAUAUAAACGUUCGACUAUAGUUAUACUUCGCAGAUAAGGAGGCACGACAAAUACAUACACUGUCGGCAAGGUAAAAAAAAAAAACAUUACGAAAUAAACUUUUUUUUUUUUUUUUUUUUUAUGAACAUGAAAUGAAUGAUAACAACAUUAUGUUACACAGCCGGUAAAAAAAUCUGACAAGCUAUACAAUUUAUAUUACAAGCUCAGCCUUCCACUGUCGCUACCAAUUUUCUCGAGAUUAAAAUAAAAUCAAAGUAAUGAGGUGCGGAAGUUCGAAAAUGAAAUGAAAGGUCCUAAAGCUAGCAAAUCGGGGGGACUCUAGUAAAGCUGGGCCCCACGUUGGGCGCCAAUGCAACGUAAAUGGGUUUUCGUGUGUAAACGUAUUUUUCAUUCAUAAUCUGUCUCAUGACAUUAAACCCUGCUAGCUCAGCCAUUUACGUUACUGGUAGAGAGGGUUCGGCCUGUGCUUUCGCUCCAGGACUUCUGACAGCAUACUGACAAUACAACGAAACAGUAAAUUCAAUAAAUGACAGGUAUAAGAAACCUAAAAAUGACCAGUGAUGACGAUUUGCCAAGCAAUGUAUUUGCUCAUAUAACAAAUGACCAAAAAUUCAUAAAACAGUUUCAUAUUUAAUAGACAAAGACAACAUAAAUACAUAAAUCAUAUCGCGGUAUCUCCAGGGCAAAAAUAUCAAUUUAGAAUUUCAAUACACUUUCGAACUUCCCCUUUUUGGACAAACAAUGCGGUGAAAAAUACCCAUACAAGUUAACCAUUUCAAAGAAGCGUUUGGCCUUAGUGCUAUCUAAUUGAAUAAAAUAAAAUGAUACUAGAAUUUGAAGGUGUCCGUUUACUUUAAAAUAUUGAGAGCUGUACACUAUUCGUUUUUAACUAAAUUCAAUCAAUCAAGUUGUGACGUCAACCUUCCGAGACAAAAUAAUUAUACCCACUGGUUCCCACCGACUUUGUUAGACUAGAACAUGAAUCUCAUUAUUCUAUGACUAGGGAACAAAAAUCGAUCCAGUAAAAAAAACCAUCGCAUUUCCCGUUUAGUUUUCAAUCCAACCAGAGCAAUGUCUGAAAAACGUUUUUCAGUAAAAUUGACCAGUUCAAGAUCCAAAACCAAAACAUGCGAUAAUACAAAAUUCUAUUUCAGAGUAAUUAGGCACGAACAAUCCCGUAGAUUGACGACCGUUACUCCAAAAUAUCCCUCGGAUUAACCCUCUGUCUAAAUAUCGCUAUCAAAAUGAAACCCAUCUCUUUAUAAACCCGAAAUCAUAAAAUAUCAAGCUAGUGUACAAUUCCCUCUAUUUAUUCUGGAACGGAAACGUAAAUUUAACAUUUUAGAACUGUUUGACUACGAGACCGAAAAGAAAUAUAUCAAAUGUAAAGAAAUAAAUAUUUAAGUCAAACAUCGAAAUACAAAAUAAAUUGAAAUUUUAAAGUACAACUUACCAGUACGAAAGUUUUCCCCAAUCUAAAAAAAUACUGCCCUGACGAGGUUUAAAUAUCCAAGUCUGGACAUUGAGUUC
rnacentral:lncRNA from 1 species